CAUCAAGAGCCCAAAAAAAACGAAAAUAUUUGCGAAAAAAUAGAAGAAAAUUAAAGGGGAAAAGGACUAGAGGAGAGAUGAUCUACAGGAAGUGGUCGCUGUUCUCAUCGACGAUCGUGAUCUGGGGCGGCGUCGGCACCGUUGCCCUAGCCCAAUUCUUCCUCUUUGGCGGCAAGGAGAAGUUUCAGGGAUAUUUGUGUCGUGAGGGGGAGAGGCUUCGCCAGCAGGAUAGAGCUGUAAUGGCUGCAGAAAACCGGGCAAAGGGGGUUUAACUUAUGUCUGAACUUGAACUCUUGUUCGAAGUUUAAUUCAAUGGGAUUUUCAUUUUCUUCUUGGUCAUUGGUGACGUAAUAAUCUCGUCGUAAAAAUAAUUACUGAAUUGUUGGCUGCUCUUUGCUUGUUACAAGCACUCAGUCGUUGGGCAUCAAAGGACCAUGUUUGCAGCAUGCACUGAAACUAAUUCAGAUCAUGAAUUUCUUGGGGUUGUAUCCAAAUUCUCUAAAUCUUUAUUGCAACUAGGAGGUCUCACUGGUUAUAUUGCAGUUUAUUGUGUGUUUUUAAACAUCCUUAUUUCAAUAAUAAUAAGGAGGAUCUUUGAA